GCGGAUGUGGCGGAAUUGGUAGACGCGCACGGUUCAGAUCCGUGUGUCCGUAAGGACGUGGAGGUUCAAGUCCUCUCAUCCGCA
rnacentral:tRNA from 1 species